rnacentral:rRNA from 1 species
AACGAACGCUGGCGGCAUGCCUAACACAUGCAAGUCGAACGAGACCUUCGGGUCUAGUGGCGUACGGGUGCGUAACGCGUGGGAACCUGCCCUUAGGUUCGGAAUAACUCCCCGAAAGGGGUGCUAAUACCGGAUAAUGUCUUCGGACCAAAGAUUUAUCGCCUUUGGAUGGGCCCGCGUUGGAUUAGCUAGUUGGUAGGGUAAAAGCCUACCAAGGCGACGAUCCAUAGCUGGUCUGAGAGGAUGAUCAGCCACACUGGGACUGAGACACGGCCCAGACUCCUACGGGAGGCAGCAGUGGGGAAUAUUGGACAAUGGGCGAAAGCCUGAUCCGGCAAUGCCGCGUGAGUGAUGAAGGCCUUAGGGUUGUAAAGCUCUUUUACCCGGGAUGAUAAUGACAGUACCGGGAGAAUAAGCUCCGGCUAACUCCGUG